GAUGAAGAACGUAGUGAAAUGCGAUAAGUAAUGCGAAUUGCAGAAUUUUAGUGAAUCAUCGAAUCUUUGAACGCACAUUGCGCCCGCCAGUAUUCUGGCGGGCAUGCCUGUUCGAGCGUCAUUUCAACCCUCAAGCACAGCUUGGUGUUGGGACUCGCGUUAAUUCGCGUUCCUCAAAUUGAUUGGCGGUCACGUCGAGCUUCCAUAGCGUAGUAGUAAAACCCUCGUUACUGGUAAUCGUCGCGGCCACGCCGUUAAACCCCAACUUCUGAAUGUUGACCUCGGAUCAGGUAGGAAUACCCGCUGAACUUAAGCAUAUCAAUAAGCGGAGGA
rnacentral:misc_RNA from 1 species